CACUGGAGAAGGCCAAUUUAAAUUGGUUGAUCAGGAAAGGCCUCUCUGAACAAAAGGCAUUUAGACAGUGAAGGAGAAGGGCAUCCACAGGAAAAUCUGAAGAAAAGGUAUUCCAGGAAAAGUGAACAGCACUGCAAAGACCCUGAAGGGAAACUGGCUUAGCAUAUUUGAGAAAGAAAAACAAGUGAAGGCUGAAGUUAAAAUCAGCAUCAAAAGAUAUUAAAGACAUAGAUUUUGCAACAUUGAAAGAGAAAUACAAGAUAAUUAUUUCAUUCAUAAAGAAUUUUACAGGGCUAGAAUGCAGUGGCGUAACUGAGGGCACCAUCUCUCGGCUCACAACAACCCCCUGCCUCCCAGGUUCAAGCAAUACCCCUGUCUCAGCCUCCCGGUUAGCUGGGAUUACUUCUUUUACCACACUUCAUUAUUGCUCUCAGUUCCUUCAGCCAUACAGAAGUUUGGUUUACCUGUCUUUUUCCUUUCAAACAUUUGUGAAGCUUUAGUAACCACAUUUGAUAUGAUUCUGGGAUGUGGGUUUGGUAUUUAGAAUUCAUACUUUUGUGAAAUGGAGAUUAAUAAAAACAGAGUAGUGACUACUCA
rnacentral:lncRNA from 13 species